AUUGAACGCUGGCGGCAGGCCUAACACAUGCAAGUCGAGCGGUAGAGAGGUGCUUGCAUCUCUUGAGAGCGGCGGACGGGUGAGUAAUGCCUAGGAAUCUGCCUAGUGGUGGGGGAUAACGUUCGGAAACGGACGCUAAUACCGCAUACGUCCUACGGGAGAAAGCGGGGGAUCUUCGGACCUCGCGCCAUUAGAUGAGCCUAGGUCGGAUUAGCUAGUUGGUGAGGUAAUGGCUCACCAAGGCGACGAUCCGUAACUGGUCUGAGAGGAUGAUCAGUCACACUGGAACUGAGACACGGUCCAGACUCCUACGGGAGGCAGCAGUGGGAAUAUUGGACAAUGGGCGAAAGCCUGAUCCAGCAAUGCGCGUGAGUGAUGAAGCCUGGUGUAAG
rnacentral:rRNA from 1 species